rnacentral:rRNA from 1 species
AACGAACGCUGGCGGCAUGCCUAACACAUGCAAGUCGAACGAGACCUUCGGGUCUAGUGGCGCACGGGUGCGUAACGCGUGGGAACCUGCCCUUAGGUUCGGAAUAACUCCCCGAAAGGGGUGCUAAUACCGGAUAAUGUCUUCGGACCAAAGAUUUAUCGCCUUUGGAUGGGCCCGCGUUGGAUUAGCUAGUUGGUAGGGUAAAAGCCUAUCAAGGCGACGAUCCAUAGCUGGUCUGAGAGGAUGAUCAGCCACACUGGGACUGAGACACGGCCCAGACUCCUACGGGAGGCAGCAGUGGGGAAUAUUGGACAAUGGGCGAAAGCCUGAUCCAGCAAUGCCGCGUGAGUGAUGAAGGCCUUAGGGUUGUAAAGCUCUUUUACCCGGGAUGAUAAUGACAGUACCGGGAGAAUAAGCACCGGCUAACUCCGUG